rnacentral:rRNA from 1 species
UGAUUGGCAUGGGCGAAAGCCUGAUCAGCAAUGCCGCGUGUGAAGAAGGCCUUCGGGUUGUAAAGCACUUUUGUCCGGAAAGAAAUGGCUCUGGUUAAUACCUGGGGUCGAUGACGGUACCGGAAGAAUAAGGACCGGCUAACUACGUGCCAGCAGCCGCGGUAAUACGUAGGGUCCAAGCGUUAAUCGGAAUUACUGGGCGUAAAGCGUGCGCAGGCGGUUGUGCAAGACCGAUGUGAAAUCCCCGAGCUUAACUUGGGAAUUGCAUUGGUGACUGCACGGCUAGAGUGUGUCAGAGGGGGGUAGAAUUCCACGUGUAGCAGUGAAAUGCGUAGAGAUGUGGAGGAAUACCGAUGGCGAAGGCAGCCCCCUGGGAUAACACUGACGCUCAUGCACGAAAGCGUGGGGAG